GCUGGGAACACAGUGAGGGCAGAUCCACCCCCAGUUCUGUGAAGCCUUCUCACACAGGUGCUGGUGGUCAUGUCUGCAGGGAAGUAGAGCUUAGAGAUAAGCUCACACUGAGGUAUCUUACAUGCAGCUGACUGAGCAAGUGCCUACAAAGCACCAGGCCUUGCCUCUAAUGUAGAUGUCCUGCAUCCGUUUCAACGUGUGAUUGGAGAGCGAUGGAAUGGUCUUUGCUACCAGAACAAGACUGUAUUCUCAAAUGGAAAUAUCAUUCUAUGAGCAAUUGUCUUUUCAGUUCCUUUUAA